GAGGAAUAUUGCGCAAUGGGGGCAACCCUGACGCAGCGACGCCGCGUGGAUGAUGAAGGCCUUCGGGUCGUAAAAUCCUGUCAGAUGGAAAGAAUGGUUGGAUGUCUAAUAUAUGUCCAAUUUGACGGUACCAUCAAAGGAAGCACCGGCUAACUCCGUGCCAGCAGCCGCGGUAAUACGGAGGGUGCAAGCGUUGUUCGGAAUUACUGGGCGUAAAGCGCGCGCAGGUGGUUGGAUAAGUCAGAUGUGAAAGCCCACGGCUCAACCGUGGACGUGCAUAUGAUACUGUCCGACUUGAGUACUGGAGGGGGUAGUGGAAUUCCCGGUGUAGAGGUGAAAUUCGUAGAUAUCGGGAGGAAUACCGGUGGCGAAGGCGACUACCUGGCCAGAUACUGACACUGAGGUGCGAAAGCGUGGGGAGCAAAC
rnacentral:rRNA from 1 species